GCUGGAAUGAUUCAUAAAAUGCUUAGACUCUAAACCAAAAGCUACUGCAAUGAAGUGUACUCCUUAAGAAAUAUGACCUCUAUAAGUAUCCUUUGAGUAAUAUACUAUACCUUUUCAAAACCUCAAAAUUUAAAACACAACAAAUCAGUGAGGAAACGUGUAUGGCUUAAAAUUCAGCACCCAACCAAUAGAGAACUAACCAAAGUUAGGGAAACCAGUUGGUCUGGUCUAAGCUCAGACGGUUUGAAAUUAGCCUAAUUAAGAUAGAAGCAUGCAGGUGACCAUUGCUGUCACAAAAUGAGACCCCAUUAAAAUCUUGCUUGUCCCAAGUAAUUUGCACAUUACCCUAUGUCCUUACUCAGUGCCCAGAAAAGUUACCAUCAUCAGUUUGAAAGCUAAAUUGCCAUCAUUACUAGACUCUCAGCAUUCUAUCUUCAAAAAAGAAGGAGGAAGUUCCUUGCUACUUAUAUUGGAUUUGAGCAUUUUUCUUUUGCAUCUACUCUCCAAGAAUGCUUAUUAAAAUGGUGGUUCAGAGAAUUUGACAUGACGAGCUCAGCUGGUCUAAACCACCUCUCCCAUUAAAGGCUACUGAUAACUCUUCUAUAAUUUCUUGAAUGGAUGGAUCCUCACUGGUGAAUCUGAUAUUCCUCACUUUGAAGAACUGAGCCUCUAUCCACUGGGCCACCUCGCUGUCCCUGGUCCGCAUGUUCAUCUAAGACACUAUUAUUUAAGACUUUUGAACCAGUUAUAAGAUUCAGAAGGAUUCUUUAAAGAAGAAAAAAUUCCCAGGGAAAUUGGGAGCCAAUAGGAGACCAUUAAAAGGUUCCAGCCAAACCAGGUUACUUGCUGCUCCCUCCUGUUCCAGACAUUCCAUCUAUCUCCAUGCUGUUCACAGACUAUCCCCCAUGCUUGGAAUAUUCUGCUUUUUACCUGUGCCUCUUAGAACCCCUAACUUUCUUCAGGGCUGAAGAUCUACCACUUUUUUUUUAAAAAAUAAAGCUUUUAUUGCUCUGCUUCA
rnacentral:lncRNA from 1 species